AAUUUUCGAACACACAAAAUAUUAUAUUUGUUGUAGAAAACAUAAAUUUAAACUGUAUAAUUAACCGCGAAAAAGUAUCGACAAUAGGAAAAUUUCUACUAAAUUUAAUUAAAUUGUAAUGGUCAAAAUAAAGAAAAAACAAAUGAACAGAUGCAGAACAGAAUAUUCCAGAAUUUGGAAAUAAUCGAGAAGCGCCUAAAGUGGUGCGAGAUUUCUUCAUUCUUGCGACAGUUAAUUUGACAAUAAUAUGGCUGGUAAUUUUUGGCAGAGUUCACAUCAUCAACAAUGGCUUUUAGAUAAACAAGAUCUAGUACGAGAACGGCAACAUGAUCUUUCUAUUUUAACUGAAGAGGAAUAUCAGAAAUUGUUUAUCUUUUUUUCCAAUCUGAUACAAGUAUUAGGUGAACAAUUGAAACUGAGACAGCAAGUAAUAGCUACAGCAACAGUUUAUUUUAAAAGAUUUUAUGCUCGCAACAGUUUAAAAUGUAUAGAUCCUUUAUUACUUGCACCUACAUCGGUUUUCUUAGCUUCCAAAGUAGAAGAAUUUGGAGUUAUUUCUAGUCACAGAUUAGUUACAACAUGUCAGACUGUAGUAAAAACAAAAUUCAAUUAUGCAUAUUCUCAGGAAUUUCCUUAUCGUACAAAUCAUAUUUUAGAAUGUGAAUUUUAUCUUUUGGAACAUUUAGAUUGUUGUUUAAUAGUAUAUCAGCCAUAUCGUCCUUUAUUAACUCUUAUUCAAGAUGUAGGACCUGAUGAACAAUUAUUGACGCUUGCUUGGCGUAUAAUUAAUGACAGUUUACGAACAGAUGUUUGUUUACUUUACCCACCAUAUCAAAUUGCUAUUGGAUGUUUACAAAUAGCUUGUGUUAUACUACAAAAGGAUUUAAAGUCAUGGUUUGCUGAACUAAAUGCUGAUAUGGAAAAAAUUCAAGAAAUUGCACGUUAUAUUAUUAAUUUAUAUGAACUGUGGAAAACGUAUGAUGAAAAAAAAGAAAUUCAAGGUUUACUAUCUAAAAUGCCAAAACCAAAAGCAGCACCACAGCGCUGACAACAAGCUCUUUUAUCAUCUAAUAUUUGGGACUGAUAUUUAAACAUUCUAUAACAAAGAUUGUUCUUAAAUGAUGAUUCUAUAAUGUAAUUUCUAAACAUCCUUAAUGUACUAACUGGAGCCUUUAGAAUAUCGUUUCCAGAA
rnacentral:misc_RNA from 1 species